GUACUACUCCCUCCGUUCCAAAUUACUCGUCGCAGAAAUGGAUGUAUCUAGAACUAAAAUACAUCUAGAUACAUCCAUAUCUGCGACAAGUAAUUCGGAACGGAGGGAGUAUUAG
rfam:Triticum aestivum genome assembly, contig: Triticum_aestivum_CS42_TGACv1_scaffold_113886_2AS